rnacentral:rRNA from 1 species
GAUGAACGCUGGCGGCGUGCCUAAUACAUGCAAGUCGAGCGAAUGGAUUAAGAGCUUGCUCUUAUGAAGUUAGCGGCGGACGAGUGAGUAACACGUGGGUAACCUGCCCAUAAGACUGGGAUAACUCCGGGAAACCGGGGCUAAUACCGGAUAACAUUUUGAACCGCAUGGUUCGAAAUUGAAAGGCGGCUUCGGCUGUCACUUAUGGAUGGACCCGCGUCGCAUUAGCUAGUUGGUGAGGUAACGGCUCACCAAGGCAACGAUGCGUAGCUGACCUGAGAGGGUGAUCGGCCACACUGGGACUGAGACACGGCCCAGACUCCUACGGGAGGCAGCAGUAGGGAAUCUUCCGCAAUGGACGAAAGUCUGACGGAGCAACGCCGCGUGAGUGAUGAAGGCUUUCGGGUCGUAAAACUCUGUUGUUAGGGAAGAACAAGUGCUAGUUGAAUAAGCUGGCACCUUGACGGUACCUAACCAGAAAGCCACGGCUAACUACGUGCCAGCCGCCGCCGUAA